rnacentral:tRNA from 1 species
GAGGGUAUAGCUCAGUGGUAGAGCACAUGCUUAGCAUGCACAAGGUCCUGGGUUCCUUCCCCAGUACCUCCA